rfam:Lepisosteus oculatus linkage group LG3, whole genome shotgun sequence.
GUAAAGGAUUUUUUAAAAUCCACAUUUCUAGAAUUUAGUUUAUUG